rnacentral:rRNA from 1 species
AGUAGUUUGAUCAGUGGCUCGAGGACGAACGCUGGCGGCGUGCUUAACACAUGCAAGUCGAACGGUGAACCAGGGCUUGCCCUGGGGAUCAGUGGCGAACGGGUGAGUAACACGUGGGCAACCUGCCCCUGACUCUGGGAUAACUCCUCGAAAGAGGUGCUAAUACCGGAUACGACCACUUCGGGCAUCCGAUGGUGGUGGAAAGAAUUUUGGUCAGGGAUGGGCCCGCGGCCUAUCAGCUUGUUGGUGGGGUAACGGCCCACCAAGGCGACGACGGGUAGCCGGCCUGAGAGGGCGACCGGCCACACUGGGACUGAGACACGGCCCAGACUCCUACGGGAGGCAGCAGUGGGAAAUAUUGCGCAAUGGGCGAAAGCCUGACGCAGCGACGCCGCGUGAGGGACGACGGCCUUCGGGUUGUAAACCUCUUUCAGCAGGGACGAAGCGAAAGUGACGGUACCUGCAGAAGAAGCACCGGCUAACUACGUG